rnacentral:rRNA from 1 species
UACGGAGGGUGCGAGCGUUGUCCGGAAUCAUUGGGCGUAAAGGGCGCGUAGGUGGCCCCUCAAGCGUGCGGUGAAAGUCAGGGGCUCAACCCCUGAUCGGCCGUGCGAACUGGGGAGCUUGAGCACUGUAGAGGCAGGCGGAAUUCCGGGUGUAGCGGUGGAAUGCGUAGAUAUCGGGAGGAACACCAGUGGCGAAGGCGGUUGCCUGGGGCUUUGCUGACGCUGAUGCGCGAAAGCGUGGGGAGCGAGUCCGG